AUUUGCUGCUCUAUUGUGAAACCGACAGAGAAGCCGAGAACUGAGGAUCUGCUUGAAAUAAAGUUGAUUUCCUUAUUUGCCCAGAGAAGGGGCUUGGGGAUUUACAACUGAGCUUUCACUGUUACCGACACGGACUCGCUGGCUCUGUGGUUCGCUAACCCCUGACGUUUCCAUCCGACGCCGGUCGCUGGCCUCACAGGUCGGUUUAAAAGCAUUUUCCAGCAAAUUUACCCUUUGCCAAACCAAUGGCACCUGGUGCUGAGCUGAAUCCUUCCCCCGGAGACGUCUCCUGGCUGCUGGCUGCCAAUUAGGCUGAGCAUCUUCGCGUGACACCAGAGAGAGAGCACGAACCUCCGUCCCGCUGCUUGUGUGAAAGGUCUGCGGCUCGUUAGGCUGGUUCCGCUGUCAUGCGGUACAACGUGCGAAGACACCUCAUAAAUCACCCAGAGCCCUGUUGCCUCUUCCCCCUACGCCGGGGCUCUGAGCUGUACUCUGGCUUCUACCUGUUUGCCUGGCACUGAAGUGGUUUUCCUGCUUCUCCUGCUCCUGCCGCUUGGCUGCCUGGUGAUGCGCCCCGGCCUGGCCUCCUGACACUGGACUCGCUGUUUGCCCUGUGGCCCAUCUUGGCCCCUGACUCCUGCUCUGGCCACUAGGUAAGACUGCCCCCUGCCAGGUAUGACAAAUUGCUAGGGUCAGUUUUGGAGCCUGGUUUCAAAGCUGGUGUGACCCAGGGGCCA